rnacentral:rRNA from 1 species
CCUACGGGCGGCAGCAGUGAGGAAUAUUGGUCAAUGGACGAGAGUCUGAACCAGCCAAGUAGCGUGAAGGAUGACUGCCCUCUGGGUUGUAAACUUCUUUUAUAUGGGAAUAAAAUGUUCCACGUGUGGGAUUUUGUAUGUACCAUAUGAAUAAGGAUCGGCUAACUCCGUGCCAGCAGCCGCGGUAAUACGGAGGAUCCGAGCGUUAUCCGGGUUUAUUGGGUUUAAAGGGAGCGUAGGUGGGUUGUUAAGUCAGUUGUGAAAGUUUGCGGCUCAACCGUAAAAUUGCAGUUGAAACUGGCAGUCUUGAGUACAGUAGAGGUGGGCGGAAUUCGUGGUGUAGCGGUGAAAUGCUUAGAUAUAACGAAGAACUCCAAUGGCGAAGGCAGUUCACUGGACUGCAACUGACACUGAGGCUCGAAAGUGUGGGUAUCAAACAGGAUUAGAUACCCCUGUAGUC